rnacentral:rRNA from 1 species
CGCCUCUUGCAAAACGAACGAAUAAGAGGUCCCGCCUGCCCUGUGACUAUAUGUUUAACGGCCGCGGUAUUUUGACCGUGCGAAGGUAGCGCAAUCACUUGUCUUUUAAAUGGAGACCUGUAUGAAAGGCAUCACGAGGGCUUAGCUGUCUCCCCUUUAAAGUCAAUGAAAUUGAUCUCCCCGUGCAGAAGCGGGGAUAUGCUCGUAAGACGAGAAGACCCUAUGGAGCUUAAGAUAAAAGGCGAAUCAUGUCAAACACCCCCUUAAAGGAAAUGAACGAAAUGAAUACCGCUGGAAUAUCUUCGGUUGGGGCGACCGCGGGGGAAGACAAAACCCCCACAUGGACCAGGGCCACUAUAGCCCUAAAACCUAGACCCACCGGUCAAGUCAACAGUAAUUCUGACCACCAAAGAGCCGGCAAUGCCGAUCAACGGACCGAGUUACCCUAGGGAUAACAGCGCAAUCCCCUCCCAGAGCCCUUAUCGACAAGGGGGUUUACGACCUCGAUGUUGGAUCAGGACAUCCUAAUGGUGCAGCCGCUAUUAAGGGUUCGUUUGUUCAACGAUUAAAGUCCUACGU